rnacentral:rRNA from 1 species
AGCAGCCGCGGUAAUUCCAGCUCCAAUAGCGUAUAUUAAAGUUGUUGCAGUUAAAAAGCUCGUAGUUGAAUUUCGGAAUCUGUCCGUUGGUCGGGCUUCAUUGUCCGUACUGGUGUGAUGGGUUCUUACCUUCUGAAUAACCAGCAUGCCAUUUAUUUGGUGCGCUGGGGAAGCAGGACUAUUACCUUGAAAAAAUUAGAGUGCUCAAAGCAGGCUAGUGCCUGAAUACAUUAGCAUGGAAUAAUAAAAUAGGACGGCAUGGUUCUAUUUUGUUGGUUUCUAGGAUCACCGUAAUGAUUAAUAGGGAUAGUUGGGGGCAUUAGUAUUCAAUUGUCAGAGGUGAAAUUCUUGGAUUUAUUGAAGACUAACUUCUGCGAAAGCAUUUGCCAAGGAUGUUUUCAUUAAUCAAGAACGAAAGUUAGGGGAUCGAAGACGAUCAGAUACCGUCGUAGUCUUAACCAUAAACUAUGCCGACUAGGGAUCGGACGAUGUUAAUUUUUUAAUGACUCG